UACGGAAGGCAGCAGUGGGGAAUAUUGCACAAUGGGCGAAAGCCUGAUGCAGCUAUGCCGCGUGUAUGAAGAAGGCCUUAGGGUUGUAAAGUACUUUCAUCGGGGAGGAAAAACAAAACUAAUAAUUUUAUUUCUUGACGUUACCCGAAAAAGAAGCACCGGCUAACUCCGUGCCAGCAGCCGCGGUAAUACGGAGGGUGCUAGCGUUAAUCAGAAUUACUGGGCGUAAAGAGCACGUAGGUGGUUUUUUUAAGUCAGAUGUGAAAUCCCUGGGCUUAACCUGGAACUGCAUUUUGAAACUGAAAUACUAGAGUAUCGUAGAGGGAGGUAGAAUUCUAGGUGUAGCGGUGAAAUGCGUAGAUAUCUGGAGGAAUCCUGUGGCGAAAGCGGCCUCCUAAACGAAUACUGACACUGAGGUGCGAAAGCGUGGGGAGCAAACAGGGAUUAGAUACC
rnacentral:rRNA from 1 species